UAAAUUGGAAAAAUAUUGAUAUUUUUAAGAUAUGAAUAAGUAAAACUUUGGAUCAUAAUAAUUCAUUAUUUUACCUUUUUUAUAAGAAGUAAGUAUGCAAGUGAUUUUCAUCAAACAAAGAGAUAAGCGACAAUGGAAAAUGGAAAAAUAAAAUAGUUAUUUUUUCUAUCAAAAUUAGAACAAGGUCACGUCAUCACGCAUCAAAGUGGAGUAAAUACAAGCGCACGGUGUACAAGCCAACUACUUCCGGUUUCUCGGUGCCGGAACUGCACGCACGGCCGGCUCGUUGUCGCGACGACCCACUCGCGGCAGAACUCGCCCAAAGUCAUUUCACGCCCGGCGGAGCGCGGAAACGGAUAUACCGGAUAACUCCUAACUUGAUGGAUAUCCACGCUUCAGGAAUCGAAAGCAUCAAGUUUUCCCAUAGCUAUGUUAUUCAUGAUUUCCUCUCAAGGAAAAGUCAAUGCACUGGCUACACAUCGAGAAGCGUGGAAACGUGUGAUAUUAUUUUGAUUUAAAGGAAAUCAACAGGUGAUCGCCGACAGACGGGUAGCGAGUGUCGAAAUCUAGAGGCUCGCCUCUCUACCUGUUUCGGGAUCAUUUUCGAUGUUAUCCCGCAACAUAUGCCCGACAAGGGGCAGAUGGUAAAAAAGCGUUGAGCCAAAGCAGCAGCGUGUGACACGGGACAGUUUAAAGGGCCGUGAUGCUGCUCAUCGGGCCAACCACCAAUCACUGCUUCUUUUUUGAUACAACGAUGCACGAACACACAUAGGACAUUAUUACUCUCUAAUUAUCCGUCGAUUAUCUUUUAAUAGAAACUCACACGUUGGUAAAAUUUUGGAAGGCUUCUGUUCAUGAAUCAUUCGCCGGAAGCAAAAACUAUUAAUAAAUAAAUAAUUAUAGAGAAGGGAAAACCAUAUCUUCAUUACAAUGUCAAUAUUACUAAUAUCAAAACAAAUACAUCAUCGAUAUAUUAAAAAUUAUAAUACAAGUUUUUUGUAUAUAAUUGUAAAAAAAAAAGAUUGGAAAACACUGACUGAAUCAAAUCAAGAAUAUAGAAAAAUCUCGCCAGAAGAUAUCUCGAGCACUUCCAUUCUUCUUAGCUCAGCUGCCACAUAAUUUCCCUAAGAAGAAACUUCAGACAGGAACUUCAGAAUCGAUAAGUGGUACUUGUUUCGACGUUUAACGAGCACCACGACCACUUUUGCCUACACUUCUCCAUUCCUACUGAGAGAAGCCGCUUCGAUCUCGACCGUGGCAAUUUUCUUCGAUUUUGCUUUGCCUCAAUUUAUUUCUUUCUUGCUUGAUUUCGCCCGAGGCGCUAAGGAUCAGUUCUCAUUUGGUCGCGAUCUUCCAUAUUUUACACGAUACUUCCUCCUUCAUUGGUUAUCCUUGUUGUUGCCUGCAUCACUGCUGUAUCUUUUCACGCUCAAGUAUAUACUCAACUUCUAUUCAAAAAGGAAAUGAGAAAGAUUGAUAAGGAAAACAAAUGGAAGAAUCGUACAAUUAGAUAUAACAAAAUCAUAUUCACUUGUAGAUUUGCUUGAAAGUAACAGAUAAAUACAAAUGCGAAAAAAAAGUAUCUUGAGCUAUUCUGGUUAGAACUAAAAAGUUCCAAAAUCUCAUAGCUUCUUCAAUUUCAAAGUAUCUCGAGCGUUUCAAGUUCUAGCCAACGGAGAACGAUCCAAAGAGCGGUCGAUGCCUCGAAUUCGGGCAGGAAACGAGAGAAAAUUUAUGAUAAGGAUGGGAAGAUCGAGCGAACCGCUCGAGGAGAAGGAUGACGGUUUCGUCCCACCUGUACGUACACGUAUGCGUAUACCGUGUGCACGACACCCCGUGCAUGCCAGAUCCAGCUGCCAUCCGUCCAAACCGCGCGCUCUAGCAAGGAGAAAGGAACGUACAGGUGCGAUCGUUAACUCAAUUGAACUUUGAUAAGUAAAAGUGCACGAGCGUAUAUUUACUGACGCGAGCGGGACAACUUUAUCGUCGCGGCCGUUAUCGUUCCGCCUCUUCCCGAUUAAUUACCGUUCUUUUGUCCAUAAAAGGAUGUCGAUGAUCUUUAAAUGCUACGAAUGGAAGUUACAAUGAUACUUGUUUUGAGUAGAUUGGAAAGGAUUGUUUACUUAAUGUUAUUUGUUUAAUGAUUUUUGGCUAUGAAUAGAAUAAAUACGGAAGAAGAAGGAUAGAUUACAAAUACAAUGAUACAUAUUCUAUAUUUCAUGGUAUCAAAUUUAUUGAUUACUAUAUGGAAAUAUUAAGAAAUGAUAUGAAGUAUAAUAUACAUCUAAAUGAUGAGUAAGUAAGAGU